rnacentral:rRNA from 1 species
CCCUUAGAUGUUCUGGGCAGCACGCGCGCUACAAUGGUCUUCGCAAACGGAUGCAUUCUCGAAGGAGAAUGCCAAUCUUGGAAUCUAUGCCUUGGUCGGGACAGUUGCUUGCAAUUUUUCGACUCGAACCAGGAAUUCCUUGUAAUCGUGAUUCAUCACAUCACGAUGAAUACGUCCCUGCCCUUUGUACACACCGCCCGUCGCUACUACCGAUUGGAUGGUUUAGUGAGACCCUCGGAUCGGUCCCGACUCGGGGUGGGCUUCUGCCCCGGUCGUGGUUUCGCCGAGAAGACGGUCAAACUUGACUAUCUAGAGGAAGUAAAAGUCGUAACA